UAGAGUUUGAUCCUGGCUCACAUUGAACGCUGGCGGCAUGCCUUACACAUGCAAGUCGAACGGCAGCACGGGUGCUUGCACCUGGUGGCGAGUGGCGAACGGGUGAGUAAUACNNNNNAACAUGUCCAGUAGUGGGGGAUAGCCCGGCGAAAGCCGGAUUAAUACCGCAUACGAUCUUUGGAUGAAAGCGGGGGAUCUUCGGACCUCGCGCUAUUGGGGUGGCCGAUGGCGGAUUAGCUAGUUGGUGGGGUAAAGGCCCACCAAGGCGACGAUCCGUAGCUGGUCUGAGAGGACGACCAGCCACACUGGGACUGAGACACGGCCCAGACUCCUACGGGAGGCAGCAGUGGGGAAUUUUGGACAAUGGGCGAAAGCCUGAUCCAGCAAUGCCGCGUGUGUGAAGAAGGCCUUCGGGUUGUAAAGCACUUUUGUCCGGAAAGAAAUCCUGGUGGCUAAUAUCCGCCGGGGAUGACGGUACCGGAAGAAUAAGCACCGGCUAACUACGUGCCAGCAGCCGCGGUAAUACGUAGGGUGCGAGCGUUAAUCGGAAUUACUGGGCGUAAAGCGUGCGCAGGCGGUGAUGUAAGACCGAUGUGAAAUCCCCGGGCUUAACCUGGGAACUGCAUUGGUGACUGCAUCGCUGGAGUAUGGCAGAGGGGGGUAGAAUUCCACGUGUAGCAGUGAAAUGCGUAGAGAUGUGGAGGAAUACCGAUGGCGAAGGCAGCCCCCUGGGCCAAUACUGACGCUCAUGC
rnacentral:rRNA from 1 species